AGCGAACGCUGGCGGCAGGCCUAACACAUGCAAGUCGAGCGGCCGUAGCAAUACGGCAGCGGCAGACGGGAGAGUAACACGUGGGAACGCGCCCUUCGGUUCGGGAUAACUCAGGGAAACUUGGGCUAAUACCGGAUACGCCCUUACGGGGAAAGAUUUAUUGCCGAAGGAACGGCCCGCGUCCGAUUAGCUUGUUGGUGAGGUAACGGCUCACCAAGGCGACGAUCGGUAGCUGGUCUGAGAGAAUGACCAGCCUCACUGGGACUGAGACACGGCCCAGACUCCUACGGGAGGCAGCAGUGGGGAAUAUUGGACAAUGGGCGCAAGCCUGAUCCAGCCAUGCCGCGUGGGUGAUGAAGGCCCUAGGGUUGUAAAGCCCUUUCAGCGGGGAAGAUAAUGACGGUACCCGCAGAAGAAGCCUCGGCUAACUUCGUGCCAGCAGCCGCAGUAACAC
rnacentral:rRNA from 1 species